rnacentral:rRNA from 1 species
UAGGGAAUCUUCCACAAUGGGCGAAAGCCUGAUGGAGCAACGCCGCGUGUGUGAUGAAGGGUUUCGGCUCGUAAAACACUGUUGUAAGAGAAGAAUGACAUUGAGAGUAACUGUUCAAUGUGUGACGGUAUCUUGCCAGAAAGGAACGGCUAAAUACGUGCAG